rnacentral:rRNA from 1 species
GCCCUUGCCCAUUUGAGGGGGAUACCAGUUGGAAACGACUGUUAAUACCGCAUAAUAUCUGUGGAUUAAAGGUGGCUUUCGGGCUGUCGCAGAUGGAUGAGCCUGCGUUGGAUUAGCUAGUUGGUGGGGUAAGGGCCCACCAAGGCUACGAUCCAUAGCUGAUUUGAGAGGAUGAUCAGCCACAUUGGGACUGAGACACGGCCCAAACUCCUACGGGAGGCAGCAGUGGGGAAUAUUGGACAAUGGGGGCAACCCUGAUCCAGCAAUGCCAUGUGUGUGAAGAAGGCCCUAGGGUUGUAAAGCACUUUAGUUGGGGAGGAAAGCCUCAGGGUUAAUAGCCUUGGGGAGGGCGUUACCCAAAGAAUAAGCACCGGCUAACUCCGUGCCAGCAGCCGCGGUAAUACGGGGGGUGCAAGCGUUAAUCGGAAUUACUGGGCGUAAAGGGUCUGUAGGUGGUUUGUUAAGUCAGAUGUGAAAGCCCAGGGCUCAACCUUGGAACUGCAUUUGAUACUGGCAAACUAGAGUACGGUAGAGGAAUGGGGAAUUUCUGGUGUAGCGGUGAAAUGCGUAGAGAUCAGAAGGAACACCAAUGGCGAAGGCAACAUUCUGGACCGAUACUGACACUGAGGGACGAAAGCGUGGGGAUCAAACAGGAUUAGAUACCCUGGUAGUCCACGCUAUAAACGAUGAGUACUAGCUGUUGGAGUCGGUGUAAAGGCUCUAGUGGCGCAGCUAACGCGAUAAGUACUCCGCCUGGGGACUACGGCCGCAAGGCUAAAACUCAAAGGAAUUGACGGGGACCCGCACAAGCGGUGGAGCAUGUGGUUUAAUUCGAUGCAACGCGAAGAACCUUACCUGGUCUUGACAUCCUGCGAACUUUCUAGAGAUAGAUUGGUGCCUUCGGGAACGCAGUGACAGGUGCUGCACGGCUGUCGUCAGCUCGUGUUGUGAAAUGUUGGGUUAAGUCCCGCAACGAGCACAACCCCUAUUGAUAGUUACCAUCAUUAAGUUGGGUACUCUAUUGAGACUGCCGCUGACAAGGCGGAGGAAGGUGGGGACGGCGUCAAGUCAUCAUGGCCCUUACGACCAGGGCUACACACGUGCUACAAUGGGUAUUACAGAGGGCUGCGAAGGUGCGAGCUGGAGCGAAACU